CUACAAUCCAUGCUAGCAAGUAAACAUGUGUUCGGGAGGUACAGCUGCUGUUUGAAGAAAAAGCCGUAAAAAAGCGCAUCCUUCGUCGGUUUUUCUAAAUGAAACGAGCUUCCCUUUACAUUGAAGAUGGCUAGCAAGGCAGCAGCGCUGUGGAUUGUGCUCUUCCUCCUUAUUCAUUGCGCCCGUUUCACCGUACAAGAUGGAAUAUCGGCCAACUGCAUUUGUCCGGUUGCGUCGUGUGCGCCAUGCCCCCUUAACAGCUUCGCCGCGGCUGGUAAACCGUUCUUAUUAAUGGCAACUGCUGGAAGCGACAAAUGUCCGCCAUGCCCACCUCCACAGUGUCCUCCGUGCGAUCCGCACGGAGGCACAUACUAGUAUCCACACAGGGAUCCUAUGCGCUCCCAGCUGCACACCGGCCAAUCCGGCCAGUGCUGUAUUUGUGGCCCUCUUUCCGUGGGAUGGUAGAGAACAAGAAUUUCCAAUUGAGAGCAAGGACGAAGAAGCGCACUUCAAGAAACUUUGGGGAAAGGACCCAGCGAUAAUUAAAACCUUUCUAAUUAGAUUUUUAAUAGUAACCUUAACACUGUACACUUAUGUUAUAUUGUGUACAUUUAUGCUGUUGUUAUCGAUAGAUACCAUCAUUUAUAACCGACUCCAUGGCUAGUACAAUCAAAAUAAAAAGGCUAUAU